GACGAACGCUGGCGGCGUGCUUAACACAUGCAAGUCGAACGGAAAGGCCCUGCUUUUGUGGGGUGCUCGAGUGGCGAACGGGUGAGUAACACGUGAGUAACCUGCCCUUGACUUUUGGAUAACUUCAGGAAACUGGGGCUAAUACCGGAUAGGAGCUCCUGCUGCAUGGUGGGGGUUGGAAAGUUUCGGCGGUUGGGGAUGGACUCGCGGCUUAUCAGCUUGUUGGUGGGGUAGUGGCUUACCGAGGCUUUGACGGGUAGCCGGCCGGAGAGGGUGACCGGCCACAUUGGGACUGAGCUACGGCCGAGACGCCUACGGGAGGCAGGAGUGGGGAAUAUUGCACAAUGGGCGGAAGCCUGAUGCAGCAACGCCGCGUGCGGGAUGACGGCCUUCGGGUUGUAAACCGCUUUGGCCUGUGACGAAGCGUGAGUGACGGUAAUGGGUAAAGAAGCACCGGCUAACUACGUG
rnacentral:rRNA from 1 species